GCGUGUUGGUCAGUCUUUUGGUCAACUUGGACAAGGAAAUUGUCCACCAAUCGGAGGGUUGAGACGCACAUCUGAGACGGGAACACAUGGGGAAUAAUUGUCUUGUCCGUACCAAAUUGCUUUCCUUGGAAAUUUCUCUCUCCUUCACAUUGUUUCACAUAGCCUUCUUUUAAGUUUACAUUUGGACUUUUUUGGUGCUUAC
rnacentral:lncRNA from 1 species